rnacentral:tRNA from 1 species
CAUCAGAUGACUGAAAGAAAGUAAUGGUCUCUUAAACCAAUUUAUAGUAAAUAACAAUUACUUCUGAUG